AGUGGAAUUGCUAGGUCAUAGGGUGACUGACCUUUUGAGGGACAGCCACACUUUUUCCAAAAUGACUGCACCAUUUUACAUUCUUUCCAGCAGC
rnacentral:pre_miRNA from 1 species